rnacentral:rRNA from 1 species
AAUCAACGCUGGCGGCAUGCCUAACACAUGCAAGUCGAACGGGAAAGUGGGAGCAAUCCCAUGAGUAUAGUGGCGCACGGGUGAGUAACACGUGACUAACCUACCCUCGAGUGGGGAAUAACCCCGGGAACCGGGGCUAACACCGCAUAAUACCGCAAGGUCAAAUGCGCAAGCAGCUUGAGGAGGGGGUCGCGGUUGAUUAGCUAGUUGGUAGGGUAAUGGCCUACCAAGGCAGNGAUCAAUAGCCGGCCUGAGAGGGCGCACGGCCACACUGGAACUGAAACACGGUCCAGACUCCUACGGGAGGGCAGCAGUGGGGAAUUUUGCGCAAUGGGGGAAACCCGUGACGCAGCAAUGCCGCGUGGAGGAUGAAGUCCUUUGGGAUGUAAACUCCUUUCGAUCGGGAAGAUAAUGACGGUACGGAAGAAGAAGCCCCGGCUAACUCUGUGCCAGCCGCCGCGGUAAU